AUCCAACUGACGAGUCCCAAAUAGGACGAAAUGCGCCUUGUCCUGGAU
rnacentral:hammerhead_ribozyme from 1 species